rnacentral:lncRNA from 1 species
GGAUCCUGUUUCAGGUCGGCUAGGAGCAGCGUGAUGUUGCCCACAUGGGAGAUUCGCGGGGCCUCCAGGUGUCCCCAGAACCACACUUCGGAGGGACAGAUGGGGCAGAAGGAGCCAUGGCUCCCAGAGCCUCCUGACUGGCUGGCGAGGUAGCUGGGAGGAGCCCUGGGGGUGUCCAGGCGGCCGGAGGUGGCAGGGCGGCACGGCAGUGUGGGGUCUCAGGUGGGGCCGGGAGGCGCUCUCGAUUCCUAAAGCAACCACGGCUGAGCUCCCAGGGGCGCCCGAGGGGCCCAGACCCUAAUAACGGAAAGCCGUGGAAACCAGGCUCUCGGCAGGAACAGAGCUCACGGCGCCCCACGGAAGUUCACGGGGACUGAGCCGCACGGGGGCGAAGGAUUUCGGGGACGCGAGGCAGAGAGAGACAGGAAGGAGGGACGGUGCGCAGGUGAGAUUGACGACCCAAAGGCCGGUGUCGUGGAAAUGAGCCAGUCACGUGACCUGUGGUCGUCCACGCAGCCCUGGAAACGCUCAAGACCCCGCACUCCGCCCAAGCGGACGUCUUAAGCCUCUGCUUCCGGUGCUGAGAGCUCUGAACACCCUGGAAGGCACCAAAGCUCAACGCGUACGAAAUUAUAUUUCAGCUUUUGCCAAAAUGUUUUCUGAACUGCUGCUCAAUUUGUUGUUUCAGAAGCACUGAGGCCUCUGCUAUGCUCUAUAUUAAAUCAAUUCAUUCAAAUGCAAUCUAACUAAAGUUUAAAAUUUACCCUGGCUGUUCUGCUUUAAAUGAUUAAGCAUUAUCCUUUAAAACACAGGUUUUAUAAAAGAAACCAAACCCAGCAGCUCAAAAUAUCUCAGCAGACACCAGCAUAAGGAAUCAGUAAAAUCCUCAACAGCUGAUCUGCCGCGAUUUAGGGAACCCAUGGAAGGAGACACCUGGUGGAGAGUUGGCUUGACAUUUAAAAACUAACUAUAGCUGGGAGGGUAGUGCAUGUUUGCAAUCCCAGCACUCCGGGAGGCCGAGGCAAGAGGAUCUCAAGCGCCAAUCUAGCCUGGGGAACUUAGCAAGAACUUGUCUCAAAAACAACAAAACCAAGACCUGCACAUCACAAAUUAAAAUUCCAAACAGCACCAGAAGGUACACCAUGAAAUAGCAGCAUCUUUGAUUUUCCAAUAUCCUCACCGGCAACUGGUUUUUGUCUGUUCUAUUCUCUCAGAACUCCUUUAGGCAUACCCUAAAC